CUCCUUUGCAUAGCAUCCUCCCCCAGAGCAACAACCACCGGGCUACCUACGAUGGAAAUCUCUCUCCAGAGGGGCUACAAUCAGAUAAAAAAAGAAGGUAAGACUGCUGAACAAGUUUUCUAAACAGUCUACAGGUAGCAAACGGCAGAAAAACAUAGCUAUGUUUUUCAAUCCAAAUGUCAGUGCGUUCAGGAUCAGAAAGGAAGAAAGGAGAUGGCAGAAUAUCACAGUUAGGGUCUUCAAGGAUCACCCUGAAGUUACCAGACCUCCUCAGGCUAUUUUCUUGUCAGAUUCUGGGAAUGUCUCUCAGUCAGCCAGUACUUCCAGAGUACCCUGGUACAGCCCCUAGUGAUGGCAGAGAAUACAGAUGGAUAUUUUCCAUCUGAACAGUGCUGGUGAAAUUCUAGCCCUGCCCUCUGCUCUGCCCAUUUGACAUGUAUAUAGAUGUUUACUAGGUCACUCAAACUUAUUUCAUCCAAAACAAAACUCGUCAUUUUCUCCUCUUUAACCUAGCCCCUCCUCUGAAGACUGAUGAGUCUCGCCCAUCUCCUUAAAUGGCAUUACCCUCCCGGUGGUUCAAGCCAAACAGCACAGUGUCUCCUUUCAUUCCUCCCACAUCUUCACUUCCUACCACCUUCUAGAGCAGGUCCUAAUUGUUCCAGCUUCAAAAGAUUUCUUGAAUUUAUCAUUUCACUCCAGUUCCAGUCUAGUUUGAGCCUAGAUUACUACAACAGCCUCGAGUUAAGUUUCCUUUCAUUUCCUAUGUCCAUUUUAAAGAAAGCAAUGGUGUACUCUAGAUAAAGCAUCAACAAAUCACGGCAAUAGUCUGUUUUCAAUCCUUCAACGAGUUUCCUAUUUACUUCUCACCCUCUACAAGGUCAACACAAUCUGAUCAUAACAGAUAGAAGACUAGCCCUCCUGUCAUAAACUAUGUUAAAAUUAGACAAAAAUGCAUAAAGCAACUGGAAAACAAGCAGCACAGGAGUAUGAUCCUUGAGAGAAGAGAAACUAACAAGGUUAUGGUCCGGACUUGCUAUCCAAUAUGUGAUGCAGGGAGAGGAAGACCAAACAGAAAACAGCAGUCCCGCAGAGCUCAGAAGACAGAUCAGUGGUUUCAGGUUUUAGCCUCCAGCACCCUUGGUUCAAGGGUAGACGUCCCUUCAGCAGAUUUCAAUCCUCCACACAAGUUCUGGGUUUACUGUACUCCACACGGAGAAGUGAAGAAGGAACCCUCACUACUCCUCCUGUACCUCAACUCCAACGUUGUCAGACAGCACUGCAUUUUGACCCUUCACCAUCUCAAGUAACAGCAUGCUUCUGAGAAAACAUACCUUCCUGUCAAAAUGGAAAUGAGGUACAAAUGACACAACAACAAAAAAAAAAGAUGAGGAAGGAUAACCUGAAUCAUUCCCCGACCAGGAAUCGAACCCGUGGCCCCUGCAGUGGAAGCACGGAAUCCAAACGACUGGACCGCCAGGGAAUUCCCAACAAAUUAUUUUAUUCAUCACAAUAGGAUCUACAUUUCAAAAAAACAGGAGCACGUAUAGAACUGAAAUAUUUAUUCAGCCUAUAGACAAUGCUUGGUAUGCAUAUGGAUAGCCGAUCCAAAAAUUCCAUAGCCAAUUCAGGUAUGUUCUGCCAACAGACUGAGAACCAAACUUUGGUGUAUCACAGAAUCACCUGUAAAGCCUGUUAAAACUCCAUACGCCUGGCCCCAGGCACUAACCACGUCUUGACUGUAGUUCAGUAUGUGUCCAACAGAUGUCUUCACGCUUCUAUCCAUCAAAGGAAAGGCACUCCAGUAAACAAUACAAAAUCUAACAGUAAGUCACGUAACAAUGUAAUUUCAGUACAAACAGAAAAUACAAUGCUUAAUUUAAUUUUUGUUUUUCUUCUUUGGCUUUUAUUUGGGGGAAUUAUUUACCUGCUAUCUACAGAGUCAUGUUCAUAAACAAAAUGGAAAACUAAUCACAAAUGUUCCUGGAUAUGAGUGCCAUUUUUUUUUUAUUUUUAUGAGUGCCAUUUUAAUGUUACUGUAUUUCAUCAAAUCUAAGAUGCCACUGAUUGUAAGGUAAACCACUGUUUAAUGUGCUGGAAAGAAAAGAAGGAAAUGCCUCCAAAUAAACCAUGACCCAAGCUUCUAUCAUUCAGAAUUUUUAUUUUAUACUGAUUGCAAGACCCUUUUUUACUUAUUUAACCAUAAAGUUUAAUCAUAUAUCAUUUUGAACUGUUUUAUAACUUUCUCCAUACCAAUAACUGUUUCAAUGCUGGUUCACAGCAUAAUAUUACUGAAGACAUACUGAACAACAGCUAAAGUUAACAUGAGAAAUAGCAACAAUACUCACAACAUUGACUAAAAUGAGCAGCUGUUAACUGUUUGUGAGUACACAGGCAAACAAAUCAAGCAGGACUGUGGCCUUGCUGACAGAGAUUUUAAGAUGCCAUCAAGGAUAAGACUUAUUAACUCAAUUUCAUACUGUUGAGAUGGGAAAAACUAUGAGUCUUGGAAUUGAUGAAAGCCCGCUUUUUUAAAAGAUGGACAAUAAUCCAAUAAUAAUAAAAUCUAUGGAUAUCCCAGUGUUGCCAGCUCUCAAUUCUUUCUGCCUUUCUUGACACACUAGUGAUAUAAUGCACAAUAGCCAUUUCAAGUCACCACUCACCCAACCUAGAGUUGUUAAGUUCUUUAUUAGACUUCCUUGUUCACUCGUAAUUCUCCCUCCCCCAUUUAUUCUCAACACAGCCAGAGUAGAUUUUAAAAGCUAAACUAGAUCACUCCCUUGAUUAAACACUGGUGCAGUUUUCUCUUGCACUUUGAAUAAAAUUGUUGCAUUACCUGCAGGGAUCCUGAAGGCAAGUGCUUUGUCUCCUAGAGGGCAUGGAUUUUUGUUUUGUUCACUGCUACUAUAUUUCCUUGUGCUCUGCACAUGGGUUAGUGCCCAAUAAAUAUCUGAUGAAUGCAAUCAAUGACUCUGGCCCUGGCUACCUCUUCAACCUCUCAUCUCAUGCCUGUUUUCCCCUUAGACAAUAUGCUUUUGUCCUCUAGUCUCCUUGCUGUCUCCUGAAAACUUCUCAUCCGGCCUUUGAAACUGUUAACCUUCUUCAUGAAAUGAUUUUACCCAAAUGCUCAGCAAGACUCUUUCAACUUUCUUCAGAUCUCCCUUAAAGGGCACCUCCUCAAAGAUGCUUACCCUGUUUAUCCCCUCUCCCAACAUAAUUAGACUCAACUAAUUUAUUUCCUCUCAUAAUUAUGUUUAUUGUCUCUCACCAGAUUUUUAAGUUCUAGGAGGGCACAGACCAUGUGUUCUGACAUGGAAAAUGUAUACCCAGCGUGUAUCCCAGGGUCACAUACAUUCUAGAAGCUCAAUGGAUGUUUGUUGAGUAAUGAGCAAAGAAAGGCUGUGCCGAGUGCCUCUAGCACCUUGUCACUCUGGAAACGAAACAGUCAAGCCACAUGUUACAAAGCUUUACUCCAAAUUACCAUUUUAGCUUCUGUUACCUGUAUUUUCUAACAUACACAAAUUUAAUUGUUUAAGCCUCUUGCUAUAGCAAUAAAAGAUUCUUUCCUGUCUCAAGAUUGUAUUAAAACCUUUUUCUUACAUUCUC